UCUGCUGGUCUUUAGAAACAAAGGCACAUUUUGUUACAAACUCCCUUUAUGUUAUAGGAUGUUUUUCUUUCUUGUGAUUGACAAGACAGCCUAAAUCAAUAUCCUUUUAUUUCCAGACCUCUAUUAUUUUGAAGAAAUCCGCAUCUGUCUUGAUGACAGUGUAGGGAAAGUUAUUUCACCACUGUAGUGGCAUCAGAGGACACUCUCAGCAAGGUUUGUUGUUAACUUUUCGAAAGAAACUGCACAUUUUGGAAUUUGUUGGUUUCUGGCAAGGAUUUCUAGAAGGAAUCCUUUUCAAGAGUCCUGAAAC
rnacentral:lncRNA from 1 species